CCCUACGGGGUGCAGCAGGCGCGAGACCACCGUCCAGACGACGUUGAUCGCGGCGACGCCCAGCACGACGGCCAGCAGCGGCCAGGGCCGCUCAGCGGCGGGCACCGCGAAACGCUCGACGGCCAGCGCGGCCAGCGCGCCCGCCGCGAAAAUCCAGCGCAGCCGGACGAACCACUGGACCUGGAGCAGGACGAGCAGGGCAUAGGGUUUUCCCGGCGUGGGCGGGAGACUCAGCGGCUGAUCGCGUGGUUCGGGCGCCAUCAAUUGGCAAGGGAACAUUCGCGUUGCGGGGGGGC
rnacentral:rRNA from 1 species